GAUGAACGCUCGCGGGAGGCCUAACACAUGCAAGCCGAGCGGUAUUGUUUCUUCGGAAAUGAGAGAGCGGCGUACGGGUGCGUAACACGUGUGCAACCUGCCUUUAUCUGGGGUAUAGCCUUUCGAAAGGAAGAUUAAUACUCCAUAAUAUAUUUAACGGCAUCGUUUAAUAUUUAAAGCUCCGGCGGAUAGAGAUGGGCACGCGCAAGAUUAGCUAGUUGGUGAGGUAACGGCUCACCAAGGCGAUGAUCUUUAGGGGGCCUGAGAGGGUGAUCCCCCACACUGGUACUGAGACACGGACCAGACUCCUACGGGAGGCAGCAGUGAGGAAUAUUGGUCAAUGGGUGCAAGCCUGGACCAGCCAUCCCGCGUGAAGGACGACUGCCAUAUGGGUUGUAAACUUCUUUUGAAUAGGGAUAAACCUACCCUCGAGAGGGUAGCUGAAGGUACUAUACGAAUAAGCACCGGCUAACUCCGUG
rnacentral:rRNA from 1 species